GGCCGGCCUGGAAGGGGUUCCGGAGCGAAGGUUUGGAGGGAAAGCUCUCGUCUCGCCUGAGUCCAGCGCUGGCCUGGCAAUUACCUGACAAUGAUCAGAAUUAGCAGGAGAAAAGACAGAUAGCAAACUGAGAUCCCAGCAAGGACGGCGUGAGGUCCCACCUGUCAGCUCAGCUAAUGGACAAGGGAGCUCAUCUGGGUGCACGUGGGGAAGAGGACAGUGGAGACUAGAUGUAAGCCCCUAAGAAGAUGCACAUCUGCAGAUACAGUUCCUUUUGGGAGAACAAGAAAACAGAUGGCAGAGGUGCUGAAUCCUAUAUUCUCCCUUUUGGAAAGUCACAGCUACCGGGGCUGAGAAUGUAAGAGCCCCCACCACCCACCACCCACCCCCGC